rnacentral:rRNA from 1 species
UACGUAGGGGGCAAGCGUUGUCCGGAAUUAUUGGGCGUAAAGCGCGCGCAGGCGGUCAUUUAAGUCUGGUGUUUAAUCCCGGGGCUCAACCCCGGAUCGCACUGGAAACUGGGUGACUUGAGUGCAGAAGAGGAGAGUGGAAUUCCACGUGUAGCGGUGAAAUGCGUAGAUAUGUGGAGGAACACCAGUGGCGAAGGCGACUCUCUGGGCUGUAACUGACGCUGAGGCGCGAAGGCGUGGGGAGCAAACAGG